rnacentral:rRNA from 1 species
UACGGGGGGGGCAAGCGUUGUUCGGAAUUACUGGGCGUAAAGGGCUCGUAGGCGGCCAACUAAGUCAGACGUGAAAUCCCUCGGCUUAACCGGGGAACUGCGUCUGAUACUGGAUGGCUAGAGUGUGGGAGAGGGAUGCGGAAUUCCAGGUGUAGCGGUGAGAUGCGUAGAUAUCUGGAGGAACACCGGUGGCGAAGGCGGCAUCCUGGACCACGACUGACGCUGAGUGAGCGAAAGCCAGGGGAGCAAACGGG